rnacentral:lncRNA from 1 species
CAAAAAUCAGACAGUAAAAUACAAUAAUGUUUCAGUCAUACCACAAAAAUAAAGUCACCAUGACUUAUCUUUAAAAUAAGGCACAAUCAAGCCUCACUCCACUAAAGAAUCAGAAUCUGGAUUACAUAGAUCACCAAAAUCGAACUGCCCUCAUAGAAUCACUAAGAUUCAUACACAAUCAACAGAGAAGAGACCCUACUAUAUGCAUCUAUAGCAUUACACGAUUUCCUAGAUUUAAUUGCUGAAAACACUCAAGAAUCGACUCUAAUCCACAAAGGAGAAGGAAGCCUUCACCAAGAAGAGAGAACUGAAGAAGCCGGCUCUAAAACCAAGAAUAAUGUCUCUCUCACAAAUCUGAAAAUCACCAAAAAUGGAGUCUCCACACAGGAAAGAAAAUCGACCAGAAAGUUUGUCCCAAAACAAGAACAUUUCUCCCCAAAAUCUCCAAAAUAAAGGACCCAAAAUCACCAAGAAGAAGGGCUUUGUCGUAGGAAAGAAGAGAGAGCAGAGAUCGGACUUCAAAAUGAAUUUAUCUCUCAAAAAUUGAAGAUGCCGUCCCAGUUAGAAUAGUCCAAGAUUUAUAUAUUGCAAGUUAAUAUAAUUUGAUCUAAUGGACAUCAUUAUGCUAGUUGUCCAAAUCUGGAUGAAAGCUUCACUAAAGAAGUUGUUAUUUUGUAAAAACACAUUUUCUUCAAUAUUUUGGAAGCACACCAUAAUAGGCAGUGGGUCAACAGUUUUAAUUCUCAACAAUCU